rnacentral:rRNA from 1 species
UACUGGAGGACAGGUGGCUGCAUGGCUGUCGUCAGCUCGUGUCGUGAGAUGUUGGGUUAAGUCCACAACGAGCGCAACCCUUGCCUUUAGUUGCCAGCAGUUCGGCUGGGCACUCUAAAGGGACUGCCGGUGUUAAACCGGAGGAAGGUGGGGAUGACGUCAAGUCCUCAUGGCCUUUAUGACCAGGGCUACACACGUACUACAAUGGCCGAUACAAAGGGCAGCGACACUGCGAGGUGAAGCCAAUCCCGUAAAAUCGGUCUCAGUCCGGAUUGGAGUCUGCAACUCGACUCCAUGAAGUUGGAAUCGCUAGUAAUCGUGGAUCAGCAUGCCACGGUGAAUACGUUCCCGGGCCUU